UUAAAUCAUAUUUUAGGAUUGCACUUAAUUGAUAUUGCUGUUGAGUGAUGUUUCAUAUCUUUUACAUUUGUUAUAACCGGACUGCAUGCGAAUUUGAACUUCAGAGCUGAGGAAGCGGGUGGAGAAAUAGUCCCAAUAUCAUAACAAUCUUAAAUAAAACUUCUAAAUAUGCCCGUGUGUGUACCCGUGUGCGCGCGCGCGUGCGCGCGACCCGCUCGCGCGCGCGUGUGUAUGUACAGUAUGUGCGUGAGUUUUUAAUUUAAAAUGUCUUAACUUAACUCGGAAGGAUCUGAAUCACAGGUCAUUUCAUCUGAGAUCAUUCCGCAUGUAACAGCCGGAAUCACUCACUGUUUCCCACAACGACACGAGUCAUCAGCCGUUUCCUCAAGGUCACGUCAGAGCGGUGUUGAUGUGGAGAGGCAGACCAAGACCACCACCAUACGCGAAGAUGAGCCUCGAGGCGUGACAGUUAUUUUUUCAAACUAAGGACUUCGGACUCCGGACCGGCAUUUCUGCUAUUUUGUACCUUGAGAUAACCAUGGUUAAUAAAUGGUCAGACACGUCACUGGCUUUAAAAUAUAAACCCCAUUGAUGCAAAAAGAUGCUGCAUGGAAUGACAAUGUGGUUUGGAACAGACUUGGUGAAGAACAUGGAAACAUCUCUUAAUAAAAUGGCCCCAAACAUCAUCAGGAGUGCAAAAGAAGGAAGUAAAAACAUCUCUACGCCAAUCUCAUUGGAGAGGAAACCACAGAAGGUCUGGUGAGGAAUGCUGCACUUAUGUUAUUGCAAGCAUUAUUUCAAGAAAAUCCCAGCUUCCUUUACUGUGUAAAUAGUGAACCCAAAGGUCCCACACCAACCAUAGUGUUCAACGGCUCUCCUGAUCUUUUCAAAUCUGAAUGUCGGAGAAGCGGACCGCCCCUGUCGCGGAUCACGCUCCUCCUAGUUCCACCUCGAGGAGGUCCCAAAGCACCCCAAUGACCAGACAAACCAGAGGGGGAGUAUUACGGGGCCAGGGACGUUGGAGGGGUUUCCACGUGACUCCAGCUGGAACACCGCUACAGAGCGUAUCUGGGUGGGUUGGGCACACACCGUCGCGGCGGCCCCUGAUGGCAUCCACAAGGGUCCAAGACCCUCCUAAGCUCCUAGCCAUAGCAGAACUACGUAUUUCAGCACCCGAAGGACUAACAACCCAGCCGGCAUCUGCAGCGUAUAUCCAACGCGAUCAAACUUCACUCUGACAAGUAACUUCCUAUACACAACCACGCCGUCCAUUCGCCCGGACCAGCCCCGCACUCUUUCCGCCCGCUACCAAGCGGUCGCCGGAUCAGCAGAGCCUGCGGACUCUUCGGAGGCUGGUCUUCGUUGUGCUGCCCAAGGCGGAAGUUGACUCGCCCGAAAAUCGACCCUUCCAGUAACUUCUACCUUCUCUCUUUAUAUCCUCCUCCCAGGCGUGGCUCGCCCAACCAUCGCUCGCCACGUCACUCACACAGCUGUGCCUUGUUUCAGCGAGUGCGGGGAUUCCCGGGGAACCCUGAAGUGCCGGUGUCUGUACAAACCGGUCCGGGCGGAACCUCUUCACUCUCCUUUUGGUUCCGCCCCGCAUAGUCACUCCGUGACAACUGUUUGCGUUUUUUUUUCUCCUCAAUGUUCAAUACCCUUUUGCCAUUAAGCACACAGUGACUUUAAUUUAUAAAAUAUAUGCAUAAGUUUUAAUACCUGUACAAAACAAAUGUACAAUCAACUUGUGUAAAUUGUCAUUCUAUUUAAUAGAUUGUUCAUGAAUUGUCUUUAAAUGCAUUGUGAUUUCGGUAACACUUUACAAUAAAGUUCAUUAGUUAACAUUAGUUAAUGUAUUAACUAACUUGAACAAACCAUAAGCAAUACAUUUGUUACAGUAUUUAUUCAUCUUUGUUAAUGUUAGUUAAUAAAAAAUUAAGCUUUAAUUGCUUGUUCAUGUUAGUUCAGAGUGCAUUAACUAAUGUUAACAAGAUUUUAAUAAAGUAAUUGUUGAAAUUAACAUUAAUAAAAAUUAAUAAAGGCUGUAUAAGUGCAGUUCAUUAUUAGUUCAUGUUAACUAAUGUAGCUAACUAAUGUUAACUAAUGAACCUUAUUGUAAAGUGUUACCGUGAUUUCUUUUCAUCAUUUCAGACACAUGUAAGUUACUAAAAAUUAAUACUGCAUAUACUGUACAGUAUCUAUGCGUAAGGGAAAUAACUUGAACAAAAUUUUUAAUGUAUAGUGUAAUUAAGAGUUUAGCUGUUUAAUACAGAGAUGCAAUUUAUUUAUAUAUAUUAUUUAUAUAUAAACGUAUGGAUGUUUAUUAAAAAGUGAAAAUGCUUAAUGGAAAUAAUUAAAUAACUAAA